rnacentral:rRNA from 1 species
UACGUAGGGUGCGAGCGUUGUCCGGAAUUACUGGGCGUAAAGAGCUCGUAGGUGGUUUGUCGCGUUGUUCGUGAAAACUCACAGCUUAACUGUGGGCGUGCGGGCGAUACGGGCAGACUGGAGUACUGCAGGGGAGACUGGAAUUCCUGGUGUAGCGGUGGAAUGCGCAGAUAUCAGGAGGAACACCGGUGGCGAAGGCGGGUCUCUGGACAGUGACUGACGCUGAGACGCGAAAGCGUGGGGAGCAAACAGG